GAAUUUUCCGCGCGGAGCGGAAUUUCUCUUUGUCUUUUCUAAUUAGUUUCACCCGAGAAAUCAACAAGACAAAGAAAAAUUCCGCUCCGCGUGGAAAAUUCCGCCUAGU
rnacentral:miRNA from 1 species